GGUGAAAAGGAACACUUUGACACAAAUGUAGCUUCAGGGCAUGCAUAGCUAAAUGCUGCAUCAAAAUAAAGAUGGCCAAACAAGAUAAACAGGUCUAACUAGGGUUAUCACUCUGGAUCAGGACACAGGCAUGUAAUGGAUUAUACAAGCCACACCCGAUCCUAAAAAUAUAGGGGACAAAUCCACAUGGUCCUUCCUUUCAUAUAUAGUUUUGAAGACCUGGAUGUGAAAGAUGAAGUUUGCAAUAAUAAGAUGAAGUUCUCAAUUAUAAGUGAUGAAAUUUGCAAUAAUAAGUGUUAUCUUCAAUUCUAAAAUGUUUAUUGCAAGGCAACCAUAUAGAUUCAAGAUAAAAAAUAAUAAUGUCAGAUGGUGUGGUUAUUG
rnacentral:misc_RNA from 1 species